rnacentral:rRNA from 1 species
GACGAACCGUGCGAACGUUGUUCGGAAUCACUGGGCUUAAAGGGCGCGUAGGCGGUCUGCCAAGUCCGGGGUGAAAGCCCCCAGCUCAACUGGGGAAGUGCCUUGGAUACUGGCGGACUCGAGCGAGGCAGGGGUCGUGGGAACUUCCGGUGGAGCGGUGAAAUGCGUUGAUAUCAGGAAGAACACCUAUGGCGAAGGCAGCUCUCUGGGACGGUACUGACGCUGAGACGCGAAAGCGUGGGGAGCGAACAGG